AUACGUAGGUGGCAAGCGUUGUCCGGAAUUAUUGGGCGUAAAGCGCAUGUAGGCGGUUUGGUAAGUCGGUCGUGAAAAUGCGGUGCUUAACGCCGUAUGGCGAUUGAAACUGCUGAACUUGAGUGCAGGAGAGGAAAGGGGAACUCCCAGUGUAGCGGUGAAAUGCGUAGAUAUUGGGAAGAACACCGGUGGCGAAGGCGCCUUUCGGGACUGUGUCGGACGCUCAGAUGCGAAAGCCAGGGUAGCGAACGGGAUUAGAUACCCCGGUAGUCCUGGCCGUAAACGAUGGGUACUAGGUGUGGGAGGUAUCGACUCCUUCCGUGCCGGAGUUAACGCAAUAAGUACCCCGCCUGGGGAGUACGGCCGCAAGGCUUAAACUCAAAGGAAUUGACGGG
rnacentral:rRNA from 1 species